rnacentral:rRNA from 1 species
UACGUAGGGACCAAGCGUUGUUCGGAUUUACUGGGCGUAAAGGGCGCGUAGGCGGCAAUUCAAGUCAUCUGUGAAAUCUCCGGGCUUAACUCGGAACGGUCAGGUGAUAACUGCUUUGCUAGAGUGCAGAAGGGGCAAUCGGAAUUCUUGGUGUAGCGGUGAAAUGCGUAGAUAUCAAGAGGAACACCUGGAGGUGAAGACGGGUUGCUGGGCUGACACGUGACGCUGAGGCGCGAAAGCUAGGGGAGCAAACGGG